GAUGAACGCUGGCGGCGUGCCUAAUAUAUGCAAGUCGAGCGAACAGACGAGGAGCUUGCUCCUUUGACGUUAGCGGCGGACGGGUGAGUAACACGUGGGUAACCUACCUAUAAGACUGGGAUAACUUCGGGAAACCGGAGCUAAUACCGGAUAAUAUUUCGAACCGCAUGGUUCGAUAGUGAAAGAUGGCUUUGCUAUCACUUAUAGAUGGACCUGCGCCGUAUUAGCUAGUUGGUAAGGUAACGGCUUACCAAGGCAACGAUACGUAGCCGACCUGAGAGGGUGAUCGGCCACACUGGAACUGAGACACGGUCCAGACUCCUACGGGAGGCAGCAGUAGGGAAUCUUCCGCAAUGGGCGAAAGCCUGACGGAGCAACACCGCGUGAGUGAUGAAGGUCUUCGGAUCGUAAAACUCUGUUAUUAGGGAAGAACAAAUGUGUAAGUAACUGUGCACGUCUUGACGGUACCUAAUCAGAAAGCCACGGCUAACUACGUGCCAGCAGCCGCGGUAAUACGUAGGUGGCAAGCGUUAUCCGGAAUUAUUGGGCGUAAAGCGCGCGUAGGCGGUUUUUUAAGUCUGAUGUGAAAGCCCACGGCUCAACCGUGGAGGGUCAUUGGAAACUGGAAAACUUGAGUGCAGAAGAGGAAAGUGGAAUUCCAUGUGUAGCGGUGAAAUGCGCAGAGAUAUGGAGGAACACCAGUGGCGAAGGCGACUUUCUGGUCUGUAACUGACGCUGAUGUGCGAAAGCGUGGGGAUCAAACAGGAUUAGAUACCCUGGUAGUCCACGCCGUAAACGAUGAGUGCUAAGUGUUAGGGGGGUUCCGCCCCUUAGUGCUGCAGCUAACGCAUUAAGCACUCCGCCUGGGGAGUACGACCGCAAGGUUGAAACUCAAAGGAAUUGACGGGGACCCGCACAAGCGGUGGAGCAUGUGGUUUAAUUCGAAGCAACGCGAAGAACCUUACCAAAUCUUGACAUCCUUUGACCCUUCUAGAGAUAGAAGUUUCCCCUUCGGGGGACAAAGUGACAGGUGGUGCAUGGUUGUCGUCAGCUCGUGUCGUGAGAUGUUGGGUUAAGUCCCGCAACGAGCGCAACCCUUAAGCUUAGUUGCCAUCAUUAAGUUGGGCACUCUAAGUUGACUGCCGGUGACAAACCGGAGGAAGGUGGGGAUGACGUCAAAUCAUCAUGCCCCUUAUGAUUUGGGCUACACACGUGCUACAAUGGACAAUACAAAGGGCAGCGAAACCGCGAGGUCAGGCAAAUCCCAUAAAGUUGUUCUCAGUUCGGAUUGUAGUCUGCAACUCGACUACAUGAAGCUGGAAUCGCUGGUAAUCGUAGAUCAGCAUGCUAUGGUGAAUACGUUCCCGGGUCUUGUACACACCGCCCGUCACACCACGAGAGUUUGUAACACCCGAAGCCGGUGGAGUAACCAUUUGGAGCUAGCCGUCGAAGGUGGGACAAAUGAUUGGGGUGAAGUCGUAACAAGGUAGCCGUAUCGGAAGG
rnacentral:rRNA from 1 species